AGAGUUUGAUUCUGGCUCAGGACGAACGCUGGCGGCGCGCCUAACACAUGCAAGUCGAACGAGCGAGAGAGAGCUUGCUUUCUCGAGCGAGUGGCGAACGGGUGAGUAACGCGUGAGGAACCUGCCUCAAAGAGGGGGACAACAGUUGGAAACGACUGCUAAUACCGCAUAAGCCCACGGGUCGGCAUCGACCAGAGGGAAAAGGAGCAAUCCGCUUUGAGAUGGCCUCGCGUCCGAUUAGCUAGUUGGUGAGGUAACGGCCCACCAAGGCAACGAUCGGUAGCCGGACUGAGAGGUUGAACGGCCACAUUGGGACUGAGACACGGCCCAGACUCCUACGGGAGGCAGCAGUGGGGAAUAUUGCACAAUGGGGGAAACCCUGAUGCAGCGACGCCGCGUGGAGGAAGAAGGUCUUCGGAUUGUAAACUCCUGUUGUUGGGGAAGAUAAUGACGGUACCCAACAAGGAAGUGACGGCUAACUACGUGCCAGCAGCCGCGGUAAAACGUAGGUCACAAGCGUUGUCCGGAAUUACUGGGUGUAAAGGGAGCGCAGGCGGGAAGACAAGUUGGAAGUGAAAUCUAUGGGCUCAACCCAUAAACUGCUUUCAAAACUGUUUUUCUUGAGUAGUGCAGAGGUAGGCGGAAUUCCCGGUGUAGCGGUGGAAUGCGUAGAUAUCGGGAGGAACACCAGUGGCGAAGGCGGCCUACUGGGCACCAACUGACGCUGAGGCUCGAAAGUGUGGGUAGCAAACAGGAUUAGAUACCCUGGUAGUCCACACCGUAAACGAUGAUUACUAGGUGUUGGAGGAUUGACCCCCUCAGUGCCGCAGCUAACACAAUAAGUAAUCCACCUGGGGAGUACGACCGCAAGGUUGAAACUCAAAGGAAUUGACGGGGGCCCGCACAAGCAGUGGAGUAUGUGGUUUAAUUCGACGCAACGCGAAGAACCUUACCAAGUCUUGACAUCCCUUGACAGGCAUAGAAAUAUGUUUUCUCUUCGGAGCAAGGAGACAGGUGGUGCAUGGUUGUCGUCAGCUCGUGUCGUGAGAUGUUGGGUUAAGUCCCGCAACGAGCGCAACCCUUAUGGUCAGUUACUACGCAAGAGGACUCUGGCCAGACUGCCGUUGACAAAACGGAGGAAGGUGGGGAGGACGUCAAAUCAUCAUGCCCUUUAUGACUUGGGCUACACACGUACUACAAUGGCGUUAAACAAAGAGAAGCAAGACCGCGAGGUGGAGCAAAACUCAGAAACAACGUCCCAGUUCGGACUGCAGGCUGCAACUCGCCUGCACGAAGUCGGAAUUGCUAGUAAUCGUGGAUCAGCAUGCCACGGUGAAUAAAAGGCCGGGCCUUGCACUCUCCGCCCGUCAAGG
rnacentral:rRNA from 1 species